CACCUUGCGCGCCAUGGGGGCCGUCUUGACGAGAGCGACAAAGGUGCGCGUGGGUCCGUGCGCGAGGAGGGCAUCGGUGGCGCGCGGCGAUUCGGGAUGGCACCAAGUGGGCCUGUGCGAGCGCGUCAGCGCCUUUAGGGCCUCGGCGCGUCGCAUGCGCACCGCCAUCCAGUAGGCGAGCGCCACGCACCAGGCACGCGCUAUGCGCUGGACCCCAUCCAGGGCUGCUGGCUCGCGUGGGCCAGGCGUCAGGUAGCGUCGGUGACUAGACACGAGGCGCACACCCUCCAGCCACCCGUACCGCACGGCCUCGCACAAUGGGUCGACUUGUCCAUCGUCGACGGGGUCUCCAUGGUUGAGUGCCAGGGCGGCCUCGGGCGCGCGGUAGCCGUCGGCAUCGAGCACGAUGCGCAGCAUGGCUGCGUCGCGGCGUCGAACGGCACAGACGGCGGCACGUGCCGGCAGGUCGCCAUAGUCGCCGCGGUCACCAAAGGCGUGUGAGGCGACAAAGGCCAGCAAUGACCGCAGGAGCAGCGGCCGGCGGUGCGCAAUGGCCGCGUCCAGGCACGCCUCGGUGAGGCCGACAACCGAGGCGAUGGUCGGCACCACCGAGUUUUGGUGCGUGCGGACGGGAGCCGCAGCCAAAAGCAAGAGCGGCACGGCGUCGCUGGUGCGGGCCGCGAGGCACGCCGCCUCGACGUCGCGCGUGGUGAUCCGUGGCCCAUGUGCGCUGCCACCGUUAAUGCUUGCCGCGGCUGCGAGGAGGCGACACGCAAUCGGCACACUCUCGUGGCCAAAGAGCGAGCCAUGAAGGUUGGGUCCACCGCGACAGAGGACCACGACGACGCGGCGGUCGCCGAGCAGGCGCGCGACGGUUGCCUCGUCGGCGCGUCGGCACGCCUCGUAGAGCGCCCGAUUGCCGCCGCACGAUGGAUCGUGACCGGGAAGCGUGUCAAAGAGGCGACGUGCGGUCUUGGACGCUGCACGCCACGCGGCGGCAGCGGCCGGAUCGUCGACGGCGGCAAACACGUGUGACCACAGUUCGGGUGGGAGGCGCGCCUCCAAAGGCAGUGCUGUGUUGUCGGGUGUGUGGCCGUGCCGAGCACGCUUGGCCGGACGAGCCCGCUCAUCCCCUCUGUCGCCCAUCCAGCGAAAAAAAAGACAGUUUCAAGAAAAAUGUUUGAAAAAGAGGGGGAAAAUCUGCUCUGCAGGGUGGCAGCACGAUCACACACGCAGCCCAACAAGAUGUCGGUGGACGCACAAACAAGCCGCGGCUGCAACAAACAAGGAACCGAGCGGGC
rnacentral:lncRNA from 1 species